CCUACGGGAGGUAGCAGUGGGGAAUAUUGCACAAUGGGGGGAACCCUGAUGCAGCGACGCCGCGUGGGUGAAGGAGUGCUUCGGCAUGUAAAGCCCUAUCGGCAGGGAAGAAGCAAGACGGUACCUGACUAAGAAGCCCCGGCUAACUACGUGCCAGCAGCCGCGGUAAUACGUAGGGGGCGAGCGUUAUCCGGAUUCACUGGGUGUAAAGGGAGCGUAGACGGCCAUGCAAGCCAGGGGUGAAAGCCCGGGGCCCAGCCCCGGGACUGCCCUUGGAACUGUGCGGCUAGAGUGCGGGAGGGGCAGGCGGAAUUCCUGGUGUAGCGGUGAAAUGCGUAGAUAUCAGGAGGAACACCGGCGGCGAAGGCGGCCUGCUGGACCGCGACUGACGUUGAGGCUCGAAAGCGUGGGGAGCGAACAGGAUUAGAUACCCUUGUAGUC
rnacentral:rRNA from 1 species